GGCCAGACUCCUACGGGAGGCAGCAGUGGGGGAUAUUGCACAAUGGGGGCAACCCUGAUGCAGCGACGCCGCGUGAGCGAUGGAGUACUUCGGUAUGUAAAGCUCUGUCAGCAGGGAAGAGAAUGACGGUACCUGACCAAGAAGCCCCGGCUAAAUACGUGCCAGCAGCCGCGGUAAUACGUAUGGGGCAAGCGUUAUCCGGAUUUACUGGGUGUAAAGGGAGCGUAGGCGGCAGGGCAAGCCUGAUGUGAAAGCCCGGGGCUCAACCCCGGGACUGCAUUGGAAACUGUCAGGCUAGAGUGUCGGAGAGGCAAGUGGAAUUCCUAGUGUAGCGGUGAAAUGCGUAGAUAUUAGGAGGAACACCAGUGGCGAAGGCGGCUUGCUGGACGAUGACUGACGUUGAGGCUCGAAAGCGUGGGGAGCAAACAGGAUUAGAUACCCCUGUAAAG
rnacentral:rRNA from 1 species